CACCAAUACAACCGAAUUUCAGACAGCAACUGCCCUACUAAGAGACAUUGCCUAUCUAUUGACACAUAAUUCAUACUUCACAGUGUUUGGGAAUUUUUAUUUACAACUCAAAGGGGAACCAAUAGGGAGCUCAUUGGCCCCCUCCCCUAGCAGAACUGGUCUUAAGAGAAGCAGAAGAUAAAGUUUUAGGAAAUAUCCGGAAAGAAAUGAAAUUUUACCAGAGGUAUGUCGAUGACAUAAUAACAGUCUGGAGACAUGGUCUGAUCCGGAAACUUUAGUGGACCAUUUGAUGAUAAGGGCAUAUGGACUAGUUUUAAAACAAGAAGAAGCUAGUAGAACAGCAACACACUUCCUUGAUAUAGAAUUAAAUUUAAAUGAAAAGAUCCCCCGCACCAUAGUUUACAGAAAACCGACUUAUGAACCGGUAAUUAUACCGAGAUGGUCUUGGACCCCACUGCUUACAAAACUUCAGCCUUCAGAUUUUACUUCAAAAGGGCAGAGACAUUUAUUGAUGCACAAGAUAAAAAGGUUAGGGAGUUACAAUAUAUAUAUAUAUACCAGACCAGGUGCACUUAUGGUUACACCAAAGGCUUCUUAAGAAGGAUACAUAGAAAAAUCCUGCAGUCUCUAUCAAGGCAAACAGUAGUGAAUGGAAAGGAAAACUGCACAUA
rnacentral:lncRNA from 1 species